rnacentral:lncRNA from 1 species
AGGAACAGGCUUGGCGGGGAGCCUGGGGUGGGUUCCUCCAGAAGAGUGAAGGUGAGACCCUAGGUGUGCUGUUCCAUGAGGCAGAGCUCUUCCCCAUCCCUGCCGGUGCUGCCCCAGCUUAUGCUGCCGUUUCCCUCUCCCCCUUCCCCACUCUUCCAUGCUGAAUAAAUCCCUCCCGAGGCAGGUGUGAAAUAUUCAUGACUGACAAAUGAAGAUUUAUGUUGGGCUGAGGAGGCCUGUGUGUGUUUGCAAUGCUAAUCAGCCUGCUUUCCUGGAGGAGGCUCUGCCAUACGGGCCUGGAGGAAGGAGGGGGAGAUGCAGGAGGGAACGGGAAGAAGGAGCUGAGGAAGAAAGAGGAGGGGCAGACAGGGGUGAGGAAGGUGUGGGGGGACCAAGAAAUCGUGAGACAAAGAAGGGACAGGUAGAAGGAGAUGGAGAGGGUGAAGAAGAGGGACAGGCUGCAAAGAACAGGGGAAGAGAUGGCCAUACUGGAAAAAAUGGAAUGGUAAAGGGAGAAAGGGACCAGAGAGAGAAAGGGUUGAUCUCUGUCCGGCUUCUCCUUCUUCCACUGCGUGGGCACCUCCUGUCCUCCUUGCCCCUUCUCGCCCUUAUGGUCCCCACACUGUCUGCCCCAUCCUCACGCGUUUGGCUUGGCCUUUGCCUCCCCCAUAACUACCACCGCCACUGUGAGGCCUUGCUCCUGGGUGUCCUGCCCCCGUGGCCUGCUCUCCACCUUGGGAGAGGCCAGCCGGGUCAGUCCAGACCCUCCAGGACUGGUACGACUGGUCCAUCCACAAGCACAGCACCUGGGGCGAGGGGAUGGGAAGGGGCAGGCAAACUGCCAGGCACAGAGCUGGGGGCAUCAGCCCUCGAAUGUAAGGAAGGGCCUGGGAGGCAGCUGCUGGGACUGGCUCCUUGUGGCCUCUUUUGGUGUUCCUCCUUCCGUAACAACCCUGUGACCCCCCUUGGUUGUGUAUGGACAAAUUUGAGUUGGAGUUACGUUUUCUUCUUCUUUUUAUUUCUUUGUUUCCUUCCUCUUUCUUUUCUUCUUUUGGAUUUGUAUUUCUUUCUUUUCUUCCCUCUUUUUUCCUUUCUUUUCUUUUCCUGUUUUGAAUGGCACGAAAUCAUUUUUCCUCAACUUGGAGAUUCCUGUAUGGAGAAAAUCAAUUUCUAUAUUUGCAAUAAAUUUCUUAUUUAAAAAAAAGAAAAAGAAAAA